AUGAUGUUAAACAACCAUGGCAAAAACAUCAUGCGAUACAAUCUGGAAAAGUUCUUAAACAAGAUUAUUCCCCGAAAACCAGCAAUCACCAUAACUAUUUCCAUUAUUCUUGUACCAAUUGAUUUUGCAGGAAAAAUAGAGGGAAAGAGAUGCAAUCACAAAGCAUCCUUCCGCGAUACAGUCGCUCGCAUCCUCCAUCUACUAUCGCCAAUCGCUUGCCAUCUUCUUCAAUCUUCGUUCCGAUAA